ensembl:lncRNA
GAGAAAGAAAGAUGGGGGGAGAAAAAGUGAGGGAUAAAGAAUGAAAAACAGGAGUCUGCCUAGAUUUUGGGUCUUGCCUGAGAAGAACUCGGCUGCGAUCACACCAUGAAUAUUCAUAACCUAUGCCCCUCCCAUCCAAACUCAUACCACCCCUCUUCCCACCCUCUCACCCACCUCCCUCUCUCCCCCCUCAGCCCAUUCCUCGUCUCCCUCCAAUGGGUGGCAACACUUGGUAGUGCCACAUGGUGAGACAGCUGUUGCAGGCCAACAUGGGCAUCUGUGGCCACUACCGAGAGGAGAGGGAGAGGGGAGAGAAGAGAGAAGAGGGAGAGAGGAGGAGGGAGGACAGGGAUCUCUGUUGAGCUGGGCAGGACUGGGAGAGAGACCGGCAAUCGCUGGUUUGGGACUGAGAGAGAACAGGUCAUCAGUGGGCCAGGACUGAGAGAGAGAGACAGGUCAUCAGCGGGCCAGUACUGAGAGAGAGAGACAGGCAAUCACUGGGCCAGGACAGGGAGAGAAAAAGACAGGCCAUCACUAGGCCAGGACUGGGAGAGACCGGCCAUCGCUGGGCCAGGAUUGGGAGAGGCAGGUCCUCAGUGGGCCAAGACUGAGAGAGAGACAGGCCAUCACUGGGCCAGGACUGGAAGAGAGACAGACCAUCACUGGGCCAGGACUGGGAGAGGGAGAGACAGGUCAUCACUGGGCCAGGACUGUGAGAGAGAGACAGGUCAUCACUGGGCCAGGACCGGGAGAGAGAGACAGGUCAUCACUGGGCCUGGACUGAGAGACAGAGAGAGACUGGUCAUCAAUGGGCCAGGACUGAGAGACAGAGAGAGAGAGAGAGAGAGCGAGAGAGACAGGUCCUCACUGGGCCAGGACCGGGAUAGAGAGACAGGUUAUCACUGGGUCAGUACUGAGAGAUAGAGAGAGACCGGCCAUAACUGGGCCAGGAUUGGGAGAGACAGGUCCUCAGUGGGCCAAGACUGAGAGAGAGACAGGCCAUCACUGGGCCAGGACUGGGAGAGAGAGAGAGAGAGAGACAGGUCCUCACUGGGCCAGGACCAGGAGA